GUUCACACAUUAACAUUAUCACAAUGAAAUACUUUGCAAUCUUUUUAGUCCUCUCUUUGGUUGCCAUCGCUUAUGGCAUGGAUGUAGAUUCCGCUAAAAAUAUUCCAAGUGUUUCCCCAAUAGGGCAUAAAUGUCUGUUUACGUGGGAAUGCUACGACGUUUGCAGAACCAAGUGCCAGAGUCCCAGAAAUGCUCUUUGCUUUAGACACUUUUGCUAUUGUGGUUACUAAUAAUAUUACUCAAAUGUUAAUGUGAAUAAACAUUUCUUUAGA